GUGGGGGCUGCCAGGCGAGGGCGCUUUCAUUCUGCUGCAGCCCAGCAAACCGGCCCUGUGCUGGGCACCGCCAAUCAUGACAUGCGUGUGGUCUUCCCUCACGGAGCUGACACAUAGUCACAAAGGGACUCCUGGUUAGCUGGAAGGAGAUAAACAAGAAAGAAAAAAGAACCAACAAAAAGACAACCAGCGUGCUCAGUGUGACCCGCUGGGGCAGAGGAGGAAACUUGUCCGAUUUUCCAGGCCAGGCCAUGUGAAGACUUCUCUGGGGACAGUGGGCCUUCCUGGCGCCCUUGCUUUUAAACCUCCUAGACCGACACCCUCUGAGUGGCUUCUGUUCCUUGCAGCCAAGUCUCCCCCAGACACCAUCUGGCCGGCAGGCCUCGCUGACCCUGCACCUUCACCGCCAGGACCCGGUGGCACCUGGCUUUCUGGAGGUGAGCUGGGGGAGCUCCAUGCAUGGCACGGAUCAGAGUCCCAGCUGAGGAGGUGGCAGCAGGUGCGGCCAGGGAGCUUUGCCUUUCUGAUUUUAGGUGGGGUUGGCCAUGAGGAGGGCCAGACAGCGCCGAAAAACACAGCUGGGAGGGUCAGAGGCUGGCCAACUGUAGGCUUGAGGCCCUGGCCAGCUGCCCAGGGUGCCUUGCCUGGUGGGAAGAGAGGCUGGAGACACCAGGGUCUACUAAGGAUGCAGGCUUCAGGGCAGUCUGCCUGCCCAGUGCCCACCCACUGCCCUCUUGCCUCUUCUCAGCCCUUCUCGCCCGCCCCGCCGGCUCUCUCUGCUGGGAGGCGUGCUCCUGCAUUUCCCAGCUGGGAGCUGUCCUAGGAGAGUGGUCCAGAGAACCAGAGGCCGGCUGCACAGAAGACGCAUUCGCCUUGAGUGAUGAUUCACCUGCAGGUGCUUCAGAGCGUGGAGCCAAAAGAUAGAUUCACCCUUGGAGGGCAACGUUUGCUUGCAAUGUCUAGCUUUAUGGAGGAUAGAAACUGUGAAUUUUAAAAGCCAAGGACAGCACGUGGAAAAUCUGUGAAGCCCUUUCAUUCUCUUAUCUCCGAGGAGCUGGUGAGGAGAUGUUGAUAAACGGUGGAUUCAGACACAUGCAGCUCCUGGGCCAAUGGGAUCAUCCAGGCAGGCUUGGGGGCACCCUCUCUACUGGCAGCAAAUCAUUUCUGGGCUCAGCUGUUGCCAUCUUUGCUGCAGAACACAGCGGAGCCUGCGGUGAACAGAUUAGCUGAACUCCAAAGAUUGCACAUGCAUUUUCAUGGGCAUGGUUUUUCAAAAUACCCUUUUCACUGAAGAAUAACAUACAAACAGAGAAGUUCACAAAUCAUGAAUGUACAGCUUGAUGCAUUUACAAAAGGGGACACGCCCAUGAAACCACCAUCCAGAUGAAGACACAGAACAUUAACGGGGCCCCCCGAGCUCCCUGGUUCCCCUCCCCUCACUGAUGUCCUCAAAGGGAACCACUAUUCUGAGUCCCGUUACCAUCAAUGAGUUCCGUCUGGGUUUGAACUUUACAUAAACGAAAUCAUACAGUGCA
rnacentral:lncRNA from 1 species